UCGACACCCUGUGCUCUUCCAAGCUUACCCAAGCACCUUGUCCUGAUUCUGAGUGCCUCUACUCCACACUUCACCAAAGGGCAGCACAGCCCACAGAUUUCAUCAGAAGGCUCUGGAACCAGGCUUAGAGAAGAAAAGAACCAGGAAGAACAUCUAAGAAGGAAGUUGGAAAAAUAGCCACCACGCACACCCCCGCCCCCCCAGUUUUGGAACAAAGGAAACCCUAAGGAUGAACCAAAUGAUACGUAGUGAUGUUGAGAAGAGGAGAACAGGGGUGACCCCUGAUGUCUGCAGGAGGAAAGUCAGCGUGAAACAUCAGCCACCAGGGAAGAGGAAUGGGCCCUGGAUCAUCACUGCUCAAGAGUGCAAUGAUGCGUGUGGACCCCACAGCAACAUCAAGGAAGUGGAGUCCUCGCAAGGAGACUGUUUCUCCAUUCAUAAAAUGACAGAAUAAACCAGCAAAUUUACAAAGUCUCUUACCAAUGUAAAAAGAGAUGAUUCUGAUUUCAUACUUUUGUUUCCAUUUAUACACUAAUGUGGAAGUGUGGAGUACGGGACAAGCUAAUUCUCCUCAGCAAGAAGGAAAGCAAAGACCAUGGACUGGUAAGGAGAGAAGUAAGUGAGUGCAUUACCGGGUGCUGGUGACAACAAACAAAAAGAUGGUAUA